AUUGAACGCUGGCGGCAGGCCUAACACAUGCAAGUCGAACGAGUGGCGGACGGGUGAGUAAUGUCUGGGAAACUGCCUGAUGGAGGGGGAUAACUACUGGAAACGGUAGCUAAUACAGCAUACCAUCAGAUGUGCCCAAAUGGGAUUAGGUUGUUGGUGGGGUAACGGCUCACCAAGGCGACGAUCCCUAGCUGGUCUGAGCGGAUGACCAGCAACACUUGAACUGAGACACGGUCCAGACUCCUACGGUAGGCAGCAGUGGGGAAUAUUGCACAAUGGGCGCAAGCCGGAUGCAGCCAUGCCGCGUGUAUGAAGAAGGCCUUCGGGUUGUAAAGUACUUUCAGUGGGGAGGCGUUACCCGCAGAAGAAGCACCGGCUAACUCCGUGCCAGCAGCCGCGGUAAUAC
rnacentral:rRNA from 1 species